AUCGCUUCUCGGCCUUUUGGCUAAGAUCAAGUGUAGUAUCUGUUCUUAUCAGUUUAAAACCCACAGAGGAGACCUUCAGGGCCUACCAGCCAAAGUAAGAAAGGGAUCCCACCUACAGGCCUCUCUGAUGGUCAGUGGGAGCCCCACAUCUCCAAGUACUCACAACUACUGUCUGAACAUCAUCCCUC